rnacentral:rRNA from 1 species
AGAGUUUGAUCAUGGCUCAGAUUGAACGCUGGCGGCAGGCCUAACACAUGCAAGUCGAGCGGAUGAGAGGAGCUUGCUCCUUGAUUUAGCGGCGGACGGGUGAGUAAUGCCUAGGAAUCUGCCUGGUAGUGGGGGAUAACGUUCCGAAAGGAACGCUAAUACCGCAUACGUCCUACGGGAGAAAGCAGGGGACCUUCGGGCCUUGCGCUAUCAGAUGAGCCUAGGUCGGAUUAGCUAGUUGGUGAGGUAAUGGCUCACCAAGGCGACGAUCCGUAACUGGUCUGAGAGGAUGAUCAGUCACACUGGAACUGAGACACGGUCCAGACUCCUACGGGAGGCAGCAGUGGGGAAUAUUGGACAAUGGGCGAAAGCCUGAUCCAGCCAUGCCGCGUGUGUGAAGAAGGUCUUCGGAUUGUAAAGCACUUUAAGUUGGGAGGAAGGGCAUUAACCUAAUACGUUAGUGUUUUGACGUUACCGACAGAAUAAGCACCGGCUAACUUCGUGCCAGCAGCCGCGGUAAUACGAAGGGUGCAAGCGUUAAUCGGAAUUACUGGGCGUAAAGCGCGCGUAGGUGGUUCGUUAAGUUGGAUGUGAAAGCCCCGGGCUCAACCUGGGAACUGCAUCCAAAACUGGCGAGCUAGAGUACGGUAGAGGGUGGUGGAAUUUCCUGUGUAGCGGUGAAAUGCGUAGAUAUAGGAAGGAACACCAGUGGCGAAGGCGACCACCUGGACUGAUACUGACACUGAGGUGCGAAAGCGUGGGGAGCAAACAGGAUUAGAUACCCUGGUAGUCCACGCCGUAAACGAUGUCAACUAGCCGUUGGGAGUCUUGAACUCUUAGUGGCGCAGCUAACGCAUUAAGUUGACCGCCUGGGGAGUACGGCCGCAAGGUUAAAACUCGAAUGAAUUGACGGGGGCCCGCACAAGCGGUGGAGCA